rnacentral:lncRNA from 1 species
AGAGAACCAUUUCGGUGAAAACUGAGAGAAACAGUGCCCCGAUUUGCCCAGUUCCAAAAACGCAAUGUGGGUUUAUUAGAAUUCUUGUCUAGUGUGUGGUGAUGCGACCACGAAGGCCUCAUGGUGUGAAAUUAUGAAGAUGACCUGUGAAGUUAUGAUAACUGCAAGUAUUCAUCGAAAAAAACGGAGUCGCUGGAAACUUCACUGUCGCAGGGUUCUGGCUGCGUUGCAUUGUGCCUCUCAGGUUCGCAGUUCCACGAACAUCUGAAAAGUAUCGUUGAUGGUUCACGUAUAGCUGUCUGG